rnacentral:tRNA from 1 species
GGGGAUUUAGCUCAGUGGUAGAGCGCUUGCCUAGCAAGCACUAGGCCCUGGGUUCAGUCUCCA